ACACAUGCAAGUCGAGGGGAAACGACAUCGAAAGCUUGCUUUUGAUGGGCGUCGACCGGCGCACGGGUGAGUAACGCGUAUCCAACCUGCCCACCACUUGGGGAUAACCUUGCGAAAGUAAGACUAAUACCCAAUGAUAUCUCUAGAAGACAUCUGAAGGAGAUUAAAGAUUUAUCGGUGAUGGAUGGGGAUGCGUCUGAUUAGCUUGUUGGCGGGGUAACGGCCCACCAAGGCUACGAUCAGUAGGGGUUCUGAGAGGAAGGUCCCCCACAUUGGAACUGAGACACGGUCCAAACUCCUACGGGAGGCAGCAGUGAGGAAUAUUGGUCAAUGGACGAGAGUCUGAACCAGCCAAGUAGCGUGCAGGAUGACGGCCCUAUGGGUUGUAAACUGCUUUUAUAAGGGAAUAAAGUGAGUCUCGUGAGACUUUUUGCAUGUACCUUAUGAAUAAGGACCGGCUAAUUCCGUGCCAGCAGCCGCGGUAAUACGGAAGGUCCGGGCGUUAUCCGGAUUUAUUGGGUUUAAAGGGAGCGUAGGCCGGAGAUUAAGCGUGUUGUGAAAUGUAGAUGCUCAACAUCUGCACUGCAGCGCGAACUGGUUUCCUUGAGUACGCACAAAGUGGGCGGAAUUCGUGGUGUAGCGGUGAAAUGCUUAGAUAUCACGAAGAACUCCGAUUGCGAAGGCAGCUCACUGGAGCGCAACUGACGCUGAAGCUCGAAAGUGCAGGUAUCGAACAGGAUUAGAUACCCUGGUAGUCCGCACGGUAAACGAUGGAUGCCCGCUGUUGGUCUGAAUAGGUCAGCGGCCAA
rnacentral:rRNA from 1 species